rnacentral:rRNA from 1 species
CCAAUAGCGUAUAUUAAAGUUGUUGCAGUUAAAAAGCUCGUAGUUGAAUUUCGAGACCGGUUUACUGGUCGUGCUUUUGUACGUACUGGUAUUAUCGGUUUCCCCUUUCUGACGAAUCAUAAUGCCAUUAAUUUGGUGUUUUGGGGACUCAGGACUGUUACUUUGAAAAAAUUAGAGUGUUUAAAGCAGGCUCACGCUUGAAUACAUUAGCAUGGAAUAACGGAAUAGGACGUUUGAUUCUAUUUUGUUGGUUUCUAGGAUCGACGUAAUGAUUAAUAGGGAUAGUUGGGGGCAUUAGUAUUCAAUUGUCAGAGGUGAAAUUCUUGGAUUUAUUGAAGACUAACUACUGCGAAAGCAUUUGCCAAGGAUGUUUUCAUUAAUCAAGAACGAAAGUUAGGGGAUCGAAGACGAUCAGAUACCGUCGUAGUCUUAACCAUAAACUAUGCCGACUAGGGAUCGGAUGAUGUUAAUUUUUUAAUGACUCAUUCGGCGCCUUACG